rnacentral:lncRNA from 10 species
UAGCAGCAUGAUUUAUAGUCCUUUGGGUAUAUACCCCAAAAACUAAGUCUGCUGAAGAACUAUGUGAGAGAGGAAGUUGAGAAAAGUGAGUGUUACUCCACUGUAUGUUAUCUUUAUUGUUUAGGUUGAGUAAUUUCUAUUGUUGUCUCUUCAAAUUCACCAAUUCCUUCUUUUGUUCUCUUCAUUCUGCUGUUUAGCUCUUCCAUUGAGUUUUUAAUUUUGGUUAUUGUGUUUUUCAAUUCUAAAAGUUCUAGUUGGUUCUUCUUUAUAUCUCACUUUUUUUUUUCUGAGACUUCCUAUUCUUUUUUUAAUAAUAUUUGAUUGGUCAUUGAAGAAUUUUUAUGAUGGCUGCUCUAAAAUCUUUGUCAGAUAUUUCCAAAAUCUAUGCCAUCUUACUGGUGCUGUAUUUUAUUGUUGUUUCUUACUGAAGUUGUGAUUUUUCUAAUUUUUGGUGUAAUGAAUAUUUUUUAUUGUAUCUGGGGGAUAUUUUGGGCAUUUUGUUAUGAGAUUCUGGAUCCUCUGUUUAAGCAGGAUGUUUCUGACAUCACUCCGGUUAAAGAAGAAUGCCAUUGCUUCAUUAAUGCUCAACGGGAGUAAAAAUCCAGUUUCCCCAGUUACUCUCCAUUGAUACUCUGUAGAGGAGUAUGUAACUCAUUGCUAGUUUUUAUAUGGCCUCCACUACUAAGGAGGCCUCAUUACUUUCAGGCAGGGACAGAAGAACUGUCUCUCCACUAGCCUUCUCUGACACCUCUUUUGCAAGCAGAAAGUGUGUCUCAUUACAACUGGGGGAGGUUGGAAGACUAGGCUCUCCAUUUGUCCUUUGCUAGCAGAGAUGCAGAGAUGAGUUUGAGGGCUGCAGUAUUUUCCAUGGUGUUGCCUAGAGUAGAGCAUUUAUUAUUUAUUGCUAGACUGCCUCUUUCCUUGUGCAUUGACUUAAAAGACCAGGAUUUCUUGGGACUUCUUAUUUGUUUUUCUCUUCCUUUUUUUUUUUUUUUUUUUUGAGACGCAGUCUUGCUCUGUUGCCCAGGCUGGAGUGCAAUGGCACAAUCCUGAAACCUCCGCCUCCCAGGUUAAAGUGAUUCUCCUGCCUCAGCUUCCUGAGUAGCUGGGAUUACAGGUGUCUGCCACCAUGUCUAGCUAGUUUUUGCAUUUUUAGUAGAGACAGGGUUUCACCAUGCUGACCAGGCUGGUCUCAAACUCCCACCUCAGGUAAUCUGCCCACCUUGGCCUCCCAAAGUGCUGGGAUUAUGGGCAUGAGCCACUGUGCCCAACCCUCGCUGGUGUUUCUGACUUGCCAGUCUCUUGAAUACCCAGUUCAGGGUAUAUAUAUGGUCAAAAAACAAACAAACAGACAAACAAACAAACAAAACCCUGUAAAACCACCAUGUCAUUUCUUGGGUCUGAGUUCUUUAGCUAGUAUUCUGCCUUCUCUCUAACUUUCAGAGUCUUAUUAUACUUGUUUUAUAUAUAAUGUCCAAGAUUUUUAGUUUUUCUUAGCUAAAGGAGAAACAGGGAAGAAUGCGUUAAAUGUAUUUUGCCUAGAACUGGGAGUCCCCAAUGUCUAUAACCCGUAAGUUAAGAAUAGUUUUUUACAUUUUAAAAUAUUAGUAAAAAUGGAAAUAACAAUAGCAUUUUAUGACAUAAAAAUUAUAUAAAAUUCAAAUUUCAGUAUUCAUAAUUGAAUGUGUACUAGAAACUGACAAUCAAAAAAGAAAAUUUUGGGGGUGUUGAAUGCAGUACUCAGAAAUAUCUUAUCUGAAGAGUAGGGAAAAACCAAACUUAAACCAAAAGGUAUUCUGGUUCUUCCUUUAAAAAAAAGAUUGGGAAAGAACAAAAUAUUUCUGAGUAACAACCCCAUUGCAUAAAAAAGUUCAAGUAUAUUUAUAGAAAUACAAAAUUAGCAAGCACUCCACAAGAUAAAAUUCAACAUGACAUAAAUGGGUGACAGAUAUAAAAAAUGAUAUGGGUGACAGAUAUAAACAAGUUUCAAAAAAAUUUAUAAAGAUGAAACAACAACAAUGUCUUUGAUCAAAUAUACAUUGGAUAGAAUUAAAGGCAGAUUAGACUUUGCAGAAGAAAAAAUAUGAUCUGGAAAAAUACAGCAAUAGAAAUAAUCCAGAAUAAAGCACAAAAAAGAAUUAAAAAUGCAAAACAUUUAAACCAUUAUGUUAAUGGGAAUAAAUGAUACCAAAUGUAUACAAAAUUUUCCAGAAAAUUUAGGAAGAGAUUAGUUUAUACUUAGUAUAUAAGUCUGACCAUAUUCUGAUACCAAGAUUAAAGAUGUGAACAGAAAACUUCAGACCUGUGUAUCUAAAACAGUGAUACAGAAUUUCCUAAAAAUACUUUAGCAAAUUAAAUUCACACACACACACACACACACACACACACACACACACACACGAUUAAUACACCAUGGGGCUUAAUUUAUAAAUACAAUACUGGAUCAACAUUCAAAAAUCAAUGUAAGCCUCCAUAUUAACAGAAUAAAUUUUUUAAAAGAUUACUUCAAUAGGUGCAGAAAAACAUCUGGCAAAAUCCAACAUUAAUUCCAAGAAAAACUCUCAGCAAACUAAGAAUAUGGGAAGCUUCCUCAACAUGAUAAAGCAUAUCAACAAAAAUCCUACAGGUAAAUAUGGAAUACAACGCAGCAAUAAAAAUGAAUCAACUAUUUGUACACAAAGCAAAACUCACGAAAAGAGCCAGACAAAAGGGUGAUUUCCAUGUAUUCUCAACAAAAAUACUCUGCUAGUGAUACAGCUCUAAUGAAUGGAGGAACACCAGGUUCUUGUCUCGCACGAUUUAGAUAAAACAACAUGGACACAUGUGGAGUGGAGCAGAGUUUAAUAAGCAAGAAAGAAAAGAGAAGGCAAAAGGAAGAGGCUCCCCAAUAAAGACACAGAGGGAGGGGGGCUCCAAAGCUAAAAGAGGAGACUCCACGUCCCACAGAUACCAGCCAGGUAUAAGAAGAGGCUGGAGGAGGCGGUGUUGGAUUUGCAUAGGACUCAGGGGAUUGCUUUGACCAGGCCUGUUUUUCACAUAGCUUCUAAAAAACUAGCCCUCCCACCCUAGCCUUUUAAUAUACAAACACAAGGCACCAUGAUGUUUUACAUAUGUGGGGAUAUGUGGGGACAGCCAUGUUGCCAGGCACAUGUGGGGCAAGGGCAAGAAGGCCAUGGGAAUUGCCAUUUUUGGGUGGACCCAGUCUCUAAUGGCCGACAUUCGCCUAUUAAAGGUUGCCUCCAUGGCUUUAAGAGCCUGGACUUUGCUUCUAGACAAGAAACGUUUUUGGAGCUGCUUUAAAAGAAACCAAAACGUUUCCUCUUUAUCUGCCUAAAAUAAUUUCUUAAAAACUCCUACCACAGUAAUUAUAAAAAGUCUUGGCCGGGUGUGGUGGCUCAUGCCUGUAAUCCCAGCACUUUGGGAGGCUAAGGUGGGCAGAUCACGAAAUCAAGAGAUGGAGACCAUCCUGGCCAGCAUGGUGAAAGCCCGUCUCUACUAAAAAUACAAAAAUUAGCUGGGCCGUGGUGGUGCAUGCCUGUAGUCCCAGCUACUUGGGAGGCUGAGGCAGGAGAAUUGCUUGAACCUGGGAGGCAGAGGUUGAAGUGAGCCGAGAUCACGCCACUGCACUCCAGCCUGGUGACACAGUGAGACUCUGUCUCAAAAAAAAUAAAAUAAAAUAAAAAAGUUUUGUUAUUUGAUAGAUCAAGACCUCUCACCUUGUUUUGUUCAAAAACUUG